CUCCCGGUGGCCAAGCUGGCUAAGGCGCGAGACUGUAAUGGGUUCUCCUCAAAGUAAUCUUGAGAUCGGGUGUUCGACUCACCCCCGGGAGA
rfam:Hyphopichia burtonii NRRL Y-1933 unplaced genomic scaffold HYPBTscaffold_3, whole genome shotgun sequence.